UACGUAGGGUGCGAGCGUUAAUCGGAAUUACUGGGCGUAAAGCGUGCGCAGGCUGUUCUGUAAGUCAGAUGUGAAAUCCCCGAGCUCAACUUGGGAACUGCGUUUGAAACUACAGGACUAGAAUAUGUCAGAGGGGGGUAGAAUUCCACGUGUAGCAGUGAAAUGCGUAGAGAUGUGGAGGAAUACCGGUGGCGAAGGCGGCAUCCUGGACCAUUACUGACGCUGAUGAGCGAAAGCCAGGGGAGCAAACGGG
rnacentral:rRNA from 1 species